rnacentral:rRNA from 1 species
GGGGAUCUGCCCGAUAGAGGGGGAUAACCACUGGAAACGGUGGCUAAUACCGCAUAACGUCGCAAGACCAAAGAGGGGGACCUUCGGGCCUCUCACUAUCGGAUGAACCCAGAUGGGAUUAGCUAGUAGGCGGGGUAAUGGCCCACCUAGGCGACGAUCCCUAGCUGGUCUGAGAGGAUGACCAGCCACACUGGAACUGAGACACGGUCCAGACCCCUACGGGAGGCAGCAGUGGGGAAUAUUGCACAAUGGGCGCAAGCCUGAUGCAGCCAUGCCGCGUGUAUGAAGAAGGCCUUCGGGUUGUAAAGUACUUUCAGCGGGGAGGAAGGCGACGGGGUUAAUAACCCUGUCGAUUGACGUUACCCGCAGAAGAAGCACCGGCUAACUCCGUGCCAGCAGCCGCGGUAAUACGGAGGGUGCAAGCGUUAAUCGGAAUUACUGGGCGUAAAGCGCACGCAGGCGGUCUGUUAAGUCAGAUGUGAAAUCCCCGGGCUUAACCUGGGAACUGCAUUUGAAACUGGCAGGCUUGAGUCUUGUAGAGGGGGGUAGAAUUCCAGGU